UUCACAGUGAGUAAAAGUGUUGACUGUUCAAAAACUCGUAUCAGAAAACAAUAAUGUAAGUACAGGAGCAGAAUCAUUAAUACUUGAUUAAUCCAAAGGAGAAAUUUGGUCGGAUAAGACACCUGGAUAAGAUCAGCAAAGACAUGUGAAGUACCUUUUUCAUCCACAUGGGGCGCCAAAAUAGUCGCAAACUACGAGUACCUCACAGGAGCUUUAAAGCUACUCUGAACUUAAAGUUGUUCUCUGAAAUUAAUCUUCUCCCGUCGUCUUUUAACCGCCAUAUGUGUCACCCACUCUGACUCUAGAAAUAAUCACUUUCUCCAUAUGAUCUCUUUUACCUUUGUAGGUCAUGUGGGGGCAUCAGUAUUGAUUUUGUUUAUUUCAUAACCAGUUUAAAAACUCCUCACAGUAGGUUGGAGUUGAUUUCUAAAAGCAAGGCAGUACAAGAUCAGAGAACUACUUCCACCUUUGAUGAGGUCAUAUACGUGUUUAUCUUGUGUUAUUUACGAGUUACAUAUAUAAGUUGAUGAUGUUGAACACUGCCACCCAUGUAAGCAGGAGGAUCAGGAUCAGGUUAUUUCACAGCAGCUCCUGUUUCACUCUUUACACUCCUGACCUGUACAGUGACUUGUUGAAGCAACUUUUUCUCAAGAACAGUGAGGUCAAGAUGUCAGAAUUAAAUAACUCCAGGUCCUUUACAGGAUCAGAAUAGAUUUUUAUUGUCAAGUAUACAUUUACACAUUUGACUUGGUGUUUUGGUGCAAGCAAUUAACAAAGGAACUAAAGCAAAAAUAGCAGGAAUUAAAAAAAUAUAAAAUAUAAGAAGCAAUUACAAAUAUAUAUAAUAUAGUAUAAAAAAAUAUAAAAACACAAAAUGUACAAAAGA